GUUUUUUAUCCGAAUCCAGCACUAGUCCAUUUUCACGUUCAUACGAAAGUUUUGAAAGGUGCACCAGCCUCACGUUGUCUGUUUCAUGUUCAUAUUACUGAGACUGAGAAAGUUUCUAAGAGUGCUCAAGGCUAACAUUUCCUUACCAGUUCCUCGUUAAUUUUGCUCAACUUGAGGAAGUGUGCUCCAUGGCCCAGUAUAUCUCACGCCACCAGAGCUAGUUUUAUUUCUGCUUUUAUAGUUUGUGCUGUCUCAUGCAAAAGUUCUUAUGGGUGCUCGAGGCAUAUAAUUAAUAUCUGAGUCCGGCGGUAGAAUUUUUUGUUCGGCUUAAAGUUUUGAAAGGUAGCUCUAGGCUAACGUUUUCUUACCAGUUGCGCACUAAUGUUGCCCAACUUGAGGAAGUUUGUAAAGGUGCUCGAGG